rnacentral:rRNA from 1 species
UGCAGUCGUACGAGAGUUUUUAACUCUAGUGGCGGACGGGUGAGUAACACGUAAGAAUUUGCCUUUAGGAGGGGGAUAAGCUGGAGACAGUAAGUAAUACCCCAUAUGCUUUCGAGUGAAAUGAAUUGUUUCGCCUAGAGAGAAGCUUGCGGCUGAUUAGCUUGUUGGUAGGGUAAUGGCCUACCAAGGCGACGAUCAGUAUCUGGUUUGAGAGGACGAUCAGACACACUGGAACUGAGACACGGUCCAGACUCCUACGGGAGGCAGCAGUGGGGAAUUUUCCGCAAUGGGCGAAAGCCUGACGGAGCAAUACCGCGUGAGGGAGGAAGGCUCUUGGGUUGUAAACCUCUUUUCUCAGGGAAGAAGCUCUGACGGUACCUGAGGAAUCAGCCUCGGCUAACUCCGUGCCAGCAGCCGCGGUAAUACG